GCAAGUCGAGGGGGAAGUUACUUUCGGGUGACUGAGACCGGCGUACGGGUGCGUAACGCGUAUACAAUCUGCCUUUCACUGGGGGAUAGCCCGAAGAAAUUUGGAUUAAUACCCCAUAGUAUAGGAGCACGGCAUCGUGAUACUAUUAAAGCUUAGGUGGUGAAAGAUGAGUAUGCGUUCUAUUAGCUAGUUGGAGAGGUAACGGCUCCCCAAGGCGAUGAUAGAUAGGGGUUCUGAGAGGGAUGUC
rnacentral:rRNA from 1 species